rnacentral:rRNA from 1 species
UACGUAGGGGGCUAGCGUUGUCCGGAAUCAUUGGGCGUAAAGCGCGCGUAGGCGGCCCGGUAAGUCCGCUGUGAAAGUCAAAGGCUCAACCCUUGAAUGCCGGUGGAUACUGCAGGGCUAGAGUCCGGAAGAGGCGAGUGGAAUUCCUGGUGUAGCGGUGGAAAUGCGCAGGAUAAUCAGGAGGAACACCGAUGGCGAAGGCAGC